UAUCUAUUGGGUCUCAGGUGUCUGACGUUUGAAUUUUCAGCCAUUCAAUCGGAGGAUCCAAUGGCCACACGAUUUCUUCUUCCUCCCGCCCGACGUUGCCUCCUCGUCCACCCCCAUCGUCGUCGUUGCCCCCGCCGCGACCCUACCCGCUAGCCGUCAUUCGCCACGCCGGCUAGUGGCAAUCCUCUGUCCACUUGACUCCGGUGAGCCCUCACCCCCAAACUCUAACGACCAACCCAAACCCUAACCUCGUCGAAGCCUCUGAGCACAAAAUCGUGACACAAAUCCUGUGGCCAAAGGGGGAAGAAACACUCAGUCUGCAGGUACAAGAAUUUGCAGAUGGCGUAGAGAAAAGAUCUUACAAAAUCAGGGGGCUUUUUUGUUCUAUGCCAAUUCUGGAGUUAAAAAAUAUAAUUGAUAACAUGGACCAAUUUUAGCAAGCAUUUGGUUUGUUACCAAAGUUUGAUUCGCUUUCUUGAAGGGAUUCUGUUCUUCGCGUCCCUGUUUGCGUAUCUCCUCAGCAAUUUUAAAGGCGGCGGUAUGGUGUUAGUUACAUGGGUUCUUGGCGUAUGGUGGGUGCCCUCCUGAUUCUUAUCUUAAGCUUCUUUCGGCCUAUUUUGAUUCGAUUCGAUUUGCCUUUGGAACACGUUUUCCUGUUGUCACGUUGAAUCGAUGUGCUCAUGGAUUGAUCAUCCUUGCUUAUUUCUCAGACAUUCGGGCUUAUUUCUCAGAGAACCGGGAAGGUUUCAUGAUUGAUCUUUGAACAUGGUUUUGGAUUGUGGAUGGAUUCUUUCAGGUGGGCAACUUAUUUUCUGAGGAUGCUAUCUCUAUUCUGAUUUGGGUAUUCUUUGUGGGAUUUCAGAUUUGGUUUGGGAUUAGGUAGCUGCUGCUUUCAUGUAUCGAACUCUCUUACUGCUUCCUAAGUUCCUAUUGAUUUAGAUGUUUUCUUUCUAGAAAUUUUUGUGGUAUCUUUUGAUGGAUUUUUUUUUUCCUGAUGGCUACAUUUUCCCUUUAAGGGACAUUGGAUUGGGUGGAUCCUUUGAAGAUUUCAGUGCCCAUUUCAACAAUGAACUAACAUGUGUGGUCCUGGGUUAGUUAUUCAGAUGGAAUUUUUCAUCAGCAGAUUGGCUGGAAUUGGUUUCGUAGGAUCCUGGCACUUCGAGUCUUCAAUGCAUUUCUGAGAUGAGAAAAAUCAGCUUGUCCAUGUAAAAAAAUUUCAGGCGUUCGGUAUAGAUGAGGGAGAUAGGAAAUAUUUGACUAUGCAGUCCUUUUGAUCAUUUACUUUUUAGUUACUGUCUGAAAAUUUGUCUGUAUGUUCCCUUUUUUUCCUCAUAGGAUUAAUAAAUAUAUGCCAGCAUGUGAAAUAAGAGAGAUUUUGAUUUUGUUUUACUUUCGCGCAUUGGAGAUUGUUUUCUUUCCACCUCUCAUAUAGGAACCUUCGUUCAUUUCUAUCCAUCCAGUUCUUUCAUGGGAAAGAAACUCAAUAGAUUUGUGCGAUAGGCUUUCACUACUUUGUGUAAAGGAACAUGUUUUGGUGGCUUCUAUUAGGCCCAGUCCAUAAGGCUAUUUUGUUUCGAUGAUUAGUCUGGUCCAAAUUUCACAAAUUUGGAGAUUAUUUUUAGAGUGAGUUUUCCUUUCGAAUGCAACUUUCUUGCUCAACUUACUUGGAUAGGUUUUUGGUGGAGAGGCCGCUGGUAUGUUGAGCAGAAUUGCUUCAGUUGGUCAUAGCAUUCUACUACCCCAAUGUGGAGUCCGCCUGUAAGCCGAGCACAAUUCAGGCUUCACAUGGUGUGAUCACUGGUGAUGUGGCUGUAAUCUCCACUGUUUGUCAUGAUUACAUUCUAAGCAAUGUCUACAUGGCAUCAGCCUGAUCACCAUCAACAGGCAUGGAAUCGUUGUAGUUUGCCUGAGCAUACAGCGCAUUCCUUCGCCCACGAUUGUGCCCAUCUGUACCCACCAAAAGAAAGGGAUUCGUCAAACGCUUGGCAACAGCAAGCUCGGGGACAUUUAAAACUUAGGCCACAUGGUGCUAUCAUGAAGACCUCAUAUGCUUAUUGCACAUAAUAAAUGUCGGAAAAGAUGUCCACUGUGUUACAAGGACACUAACACCCUCCAGUGGAAAUACGGCAUAAUAUAUAAUAUGUAGAACAAAUGGUGUACAUCCAGCAUCUGGAACAUCUCUUGUUUGGGGUAACCACCCUAAACUGGAAAUAGGAAUAAGGGUGUGUUUAGGAGUAAGGGCGUAUUUGGUUCCCAGCCCCAACAGGCCAAGCCAAAUUUUGGCCAUGGACAAAUUAAGGCAAUGCCAAAAUUUGGUAGGAAAAAAUAUUGUUUGGUUCGUGACUAAGUCAAAGUUAGGGCAGUGACAAUUAAGGCUGUUUGGAUUGCAGCCAUGCCAAAAUUUCUAAAAGCUGUGAGUAUAACAUAUGAGAUACACAUGUAACUAAUUUUUUUUUGCACCAAAAUAUAGUCAACAUGGGUCUUGAUUUGUAGAAUUAAUUACAAGGAAUGCAACGGUGCAAACAGAUUAAAAGUCAGAUACAUGGUUUAGGAGAUAUUGUGAUUUAAAAUUUGUUAAUCCAAAGCUUUUGAAAUGCGUGCAGCCAGUGGGCAGCUGCCACCUCAGCCAGUGGCCAAGUCAAAUGC